UAUCAAAUGUUCUGCUUUACAGGGUGCCAAAGGGGAAACAGGACCAGAUGGUGAAAAGGGGGCAGUAGGACGUAAAGGAGAGAAGGGUGCUAAAGAGGAUAAGGGAGACGCUGGAUCUCGUGGUGACAAAGGGCAGCGUGGGGUGAAGGGUGGUUUCGGUCGUGAUGGGCUUCCUGGUCCUAUUGGACCUCCAGGUCUUCCAGGUCCCAGAGGAGAUGAAGGCCCUAGAGGAGACCAGGGAGUGAAAGGACAGAGUGGGCCGAAAGGAGAGCUAGGUGAACCUGGUCCAGGACUGACAGAUGAGCAGAUAUUGCAGCUGUGUCAAGGUGUGGUCACCGCUCAGAUCUCCCAGUAUGCUUCAUCUAUACGUGCCAAAUGCGUAUAGGGCUGUCCAAUCAACAACUGUACCCUCAUCGGACCCCCAGGAGUCAGAGGAUCUCCUGGAAGUCCAGGAAAA